GAAAGUGAAAAUUAAAAGUCAGCAUCUUUACCUCUACAAAUUCUCAAACUGUAUCAUUAAAACUAGGAGAAAGUGGAAGUGAAACUGUGUAAUGAAAACAGGAAUUUAUGGAGAGUGAGGGAGGGGGAAUUGGAGGAAGGUGGUCAAAAGGUACACACUUCCAGUUUAAGGCAAAUAAGUACUGGGGAUGUAAUGUACAGCAGGCUGACUACAGCUAACACUGCUGUGUGCUAUGGAAAGCUGCUCAGAGUAAAUCCUAAGACCUCUCCCCACAAGGAAAGGCUUUUUUUUCUUUUUAUUGUAUCUCCCUGUGGCCCUUGAACAACAGGGGUCUGAAAUGCAUGGGUCCUUGUAUAGAUGAAAUUUUUUUUCAAUAAAUACAUACUACAGUAUUGCACUAUCCAUGGCUGAUUCAAUCCACAGACGUAGAACCACACAUAUGGAGGGCCAACUGUAAAGUUGUGGAUUUCUGACUAGGCAAGGGUGGCGAAACCUUGGAUGCAACCCCAACUCUUGCAUCAUUCAAGGGCCAAGUGCAUAUGAGAAGACGGAUGUUAGCUGAACAUGUUGUGUCAGUCCCUUUAAAAUACAUGUAAAUCAAACCAUCAUGCUGUAUUCCUUAAACUUAUUCAGUAAUUAUGUCAAAUAUUUCUAUUAGAAAAAAAAUUUUUUUCACAGUACAAUCUCAUUAUUUUUAGCAACAGAUAUUUUGAAAUAUAAUUCACAUAAAAUUCAUCUUUUUAAAAUGUACAAUUCAGUAGUUCUUGAUACAGUCAGAGCUGUGCAAGCAUCACUAAUUCCAGAACAUCCUUACCACUCCAGAAAGAACGGAAGCCCCAUCGGCAGUGAGUCCCACUCCUCCGUCUCCCUGCCCCGGCACCCACUCAUCCGCUCUGUCCUCGUGGAUUUGUCUGUUUCUGGCGUUUCAUGUCAUGGAAUCGUAAGGUUAUUACUGAAAACUGAGCCGAGUUCCCUGUGCUAUACAUGAGCUGGCACAUUACUGUCAAGGUCUCAGAUCGAAGAAAAAUCAUCAGUUCUGACUGUACUCUUCAAAGUCAAGAAUAAAGGUCUAGGGACUUUGCUGGUGGUCCAGGGGCUAAGACUCCACGCUCCCAAUCCAGGGGGCCCAGGUUCGAUCCCUGUCAGGGAACUAGAUCCCACAUGCUGCAACUAAAGAACCUGCAUGCCACAACUAAAUAAAUACAUUAAAAAAAGAAUAAAGGUCUAAGAAAGCUGUAAGUGUUGCAAUUUCAUGACUCCACUGUCUACACACUCUAUCUAGUCUUGGAGACUAACUUCCUAAAACUCUAGAAAAACUAACAGUACUUGAAUGGAUCAAGCGAUGUGGAAGCGACUUCUUCCACAGAGUGCUAAUAAUCCUCCUGCAAACAUUCAACAGUCACUGAUAUUCUAAAAACAUAUAUUACAUGAUACAUGCUCAUCAGAAAAACUUGAAAAAUUGAAGAAGGUAUAUAUUAUAUAUAGACGCAAAGCCCCAAAGACCUAUAACUUUUAUUUUUCUAUUGUAAUAAUUAGCGCUACUGUUUCGAAAAGGGUUUCUGAAUGUUUGUUAAUUAAACCUAGCAUUUCUUUCAAAUUAACAGGUUAGUCCAAGAGUGCCUUCAAGGAACCUUUGGACACUGAUCAAAUGUGCUUUCUGUUUAAAAAUAUGACUACUGGGGACUUCCCUGGCAGGCCCGUGGUGAAAAGUUCCUCAUGUCCUCUUCCAAGGCAGGAGGUGAGAGCUCCACCCCUGGUCACAAAACAGAAAGGCUGUAACAAACUCUAUAAAGACUUCAUAGAUUUCCUGAUUUCUACACCAAUUUCAGUAACUACUUAAGGUCUGUUGUAUAACUACCUAAGGUCUGUCUGUACAAUGGUUGUUUUUUUCCCUGGAGAAACAAAAAAGACACUUUUUUGGAAGCUGAUAAAAAAAAAAAUCUGUCAAGAAAAGAUAUAUAUUCUUUUUGUGACACCGGUGUACGUCACUUUAGCCCCUGUGGACCUAAGUUUCCUCAUCGAUAAAAUGGGCAUGAUAAAUAAACCCUGUUCUACGAACGUCCAGAAUCAAUUGAGAGUAUAUGUGAAAAACACAACUUAAAAUGGUGUUACAACUAUUACUGCACUCUUAAUGAGCAUAUUCAGUAUCAUCAGUCUUCCUUUCCCUUUUCUUAGGAUUUCGUUUAUCUAUGGCAGUAGCUCUCUAGUUGCAGUGCAUAAGCUUCUCAUUGGGUGACUUCUCUAAGUGCCCAGCACGGCCCGGCGGGCGGCGGGGAGCGUGCUCAGUACUUGUGGCCCAUGGGCUUAAUUGCUCUGUGGCACGUGGGAUCUUCCACUAUCAAGGACCGAACCUGCGUCUCCUGCACUGGCAGGCAGAUUUUCUAACACAAAUAGUUGAAAUAAUGCACCUCAAAUUAACGGUAGUCGCAAAUACUAAUUCGGUUCAGGUAAUGAGGAUCAGCAAAACUUCACAGAGGCACAAGCUUACUGUAAAUCUAGAAGACUGCAAUAAUAAAAUACGGAGCAAAAUAACCCAGAGCAACACAGAAUAGAUGAGUUAGUACACAUUCUAAAACUGUAUCUGUGUUACUAGGAAGACAAUAAAAAGAAUCAAUGCUUGUGUGUCUACUUCUAAACAAACGGUUAAAAAACAAUCCACUUGCAACAAAUCAUUUCAUAUUAGAUUCUCCACUCCUAUGGCAUUAAAAAAAAUCCAAUUUAUAUAGACCUCAAAAGUUUACGUUUCAGGAACACACGAAAGCCAGUAACAGUGAACAUCAGGUGGUUUCUCUUUGUUGAUUACCGAUGACACAGCUUUCUUCCUGAAAGUCCACAACUAAUUACAAGCAAAACUGCCUGUCUUACGGCCCGUCUCUCUCCUCACCUACACACUAACUAUACGGGAGUUAAAGUCUCUCCAACUGGAGCACUCCGUCGGGGGCGCCAGCAGGCGACGGUGGGGGUCUGCGGGUGCCAACUCCGCAGGCGGCGCGGAGUCAGGCUCCACAGCGAGCAGGGCGGCCCUAGGGCCUGCUCGACCCGUCCCCUCGCCCCGCACAGGGGAGACGGCGGGGUUCAGCGCGUUUUGGGGGCGAGGCCGGGACAGUGCCUCCUGCAGGGGGGCCGGGAAAAGCCAGCGGUGGGGGUCAGGCCAAGUGUACUCCAAACGGACGGGGAAGCGCUGAGACGCCAGGGACUGGCAGCCGGGCCUCUCGGCGCCCGGAGGAAAGGCUGGGGGCCCCUGGGGUUGGAGGUAGGCCGGAGGGGGUGUCCCUGCUACAUCUCGGGCCCUCGCCU